GUUAAUGUAGCAAAACCUGGCAUUGCAAAAGACCUAAACUCUUUUCUUAGAGAUUCAAAUCCUCUCGUUAACU
rnacentral:tRNA from 1 species